AGCGCAGGCGGGAAGACAAGUUGGAAGUGAAAUCUAUGGGCUCAACCCAUAAACUGCUUUCAAAACUGUUUUUCUUGAGUAGUGCAGAGGUAGGCGGAAUUCCCGGUGUAACGGUGGAAUGUGUAGAUAUCGGGAAGAACACCAAUGGCGAAGGCAGGUCUCUGGGCCGUCACUGACGCUGAGGAGCGAAAGCGUGGGGAGCGAACA
rnacentral:rRNA from 1 species